rnacentral:rRNA from 1 species
GGAGGUAGUGACAAUAAAUCACAAUGCGGAACAAUGUUUUGCAAUUGGAUUGAGAACAACGUACAAACCUUAUCGAUAAACAAUUGGAGGGCAAGUCUGGUGCCAGCAGCCGCGGUAAUUCCAGCUCCAAUAGCGUAUAUUAACGUUGUUGCAGUUAAAAAGCUCGUAGUUGAAAUGAAGGGUAGUUGUGUAAUGAAUACAUUCGUGUAUUUUGUUAUUCAAGUACCCUCCUUCUAAAUUCGAUAUAUGAGUAUUAAUUUACUUGUAUAUGGUUUUAGACAUUUACUGUGAGAAAAUUAGAGUGUUCAAAGCAGGCAUUUGCUUGAAUAUAUUAGCAUGGAAUAAUCAUGUAUGAUUUUCAUGAUGUAUUUGAUUGGUUUGGUUGAUGAGAAUAAGAUUAAAAGGGACAGUUGGGGGUAUUCAUAUUCAAUAGUCAGAGGUGAAAUUCUCGGAUUUAUGGAAGAUGAACAAGUGCGAAAGCA